rnacentral:rRNA from 1 species
UACGUAGGGGGCUAGCGUUUGUCCGGAUUUAUUGGGCGUAAAGAGCGUGUAGGCGGCCAGGUAGGUCUGCUGUGAAAACUCGAGGCUCAACCUCGAGACGUCGGCGGAAACCAUCUGGCUAGAGUCCGGAAGAGGAGAGUGGAAUUCCUGGUGGUAGCGGUGAAAUGCGCAGAUAUCAGGAAGAACACCUAUGGCGAAGGCAGCUCUCUGGGGACGGUACUGACGCUGAGACGCGAAAAGCGUGGGGGAGCGAACAGG